CCAAUGUGGAUAUCCUGUGCGGUUGCUCAUGUGGUGCUGUCUGUGUGGCAUAAUGGAGCGCAGCGAUUUUCAGUGCCAUGAUGUACAGCCCUGUUCCAUGACGUUGGAGAGCAAGCUUGUUCCCUGCCUUUGGGCUGCAGAGGAUCGCGUCCUGUAUAUUCCUACAUCUUUCCAGAGCCCUCUGCAGUUACUGGGGAGGUAAACCAUGCAGGGCACAUGU